GAGGCUCAUUAUCUCUCUAUUGGGGCUCCUCAAGGAGUAAUCUCCAGAAUCUAUUCAAGGGAUAUUCGGAGAAUAGUUGAAUCAUAUUCAAGAACAAAUCGUUAGAUUUUUCCUUCUAUAAUUAAGAACUUAAGUUCAAGUUUAAAACAUUAAAAGAAAAUUCAGAAAACUAGAACAAAGUUCAAACAAAAUUGAAUGCACAUGUUGAGGGGGAGAAUCUGAAAUUUUAAGAAAGCAAAUUCAUUAAAAACUUAUAAGCCAAACAAUUGAUUGCAUGAUUUGAAGAUUUAUAUAAUUCCAAAUGAAAGGGGGAGCUUUAAUUUGAGAGUUUACUGACUCAUACCUUUCAAUUUUGGAUAAAUUAAAUGACUAGACAUUUGAAUUCAUUUCAAAACUUCGCUAUGAAUCACUUCUUGGAUGAGCAAUUCACUUUACAAAUACUCAAUGUUUUGUCAUCAUUAAAAAGGGGAGAUUGUGGAGUGAUUGAGUAUACCCCUAUUUGAUUUUGAUGAGCUCAAAGCAUUUGAGUAUAUUUUAUGUUGUACUAAUGAAUUCAAUCUAGUGUUUCAGGCAAAUAUAUGUGAAUUUCUGUUUAAGUGCCUCGAGCUUUGGUUCAAAGUAAUUCGGCUAAGUGUUGGACUCAAUUUGAACCAAAGUCUGAAUCCCGAGUCGACUUCGGAAGAUUACGAGUCGACUUCGAGUGUUUUAAAGGUUCUGGCACAAGCUCGAGUCGACUCUGGUACUCUACGAGUUGACUCCGGUACUCUACGAGUCGACUCCGACUGAGAACAGACAGAAAGACAGAAAGAAGAAUUUCAGACCCUGUCAGCGAGUCGACUCCAAAAAGUUUCGAGUCGACUCUGAUGCUAGCCGAGUCGACUCCCUAUGGUUCCGAGUCGACUCCAAAGAGUAACAGACAGAAAGACAGAACGAUGGAUUUUAGACUCUGUUACCGAAUCGACUCGAGAAGGUUACGAGUCGACUCUGAAGUUUUGGCGAGUCGACUCCUAGUUAUGUCCGAAUC
rnacentral:lncRNA from 1 species